UGGGGAAUCUUGCACAAUGGGCGAAAGCCUGAUGCAGCAACGCCGCGUGCGGGAAGAAGGCCCUAGGGUUGUAAACCGCUUUCAGUAGGGAAGAAAAUGACGGUACCUACAGAAGAAGGUGCGGCCAACUACGUGCCAGCAGCCGCGGUGACACGUAGGCACCAAGCGUUAUCCGGAUUUAUUGGGCGUAAAGAGCUCGUAGGCGGUUCGGUAAGUCGGGUGUGAAAACUCUGGGCUCAACCCAGAGAGGCCACCCGAUACUGCUGUGACUAGAGUGCGGUAGGGGAGCGGGGAAUUCCUGGUGUAGCGGUGAAAUGCGCAGAUAUCAGGAGGAACACCAGCGGCGAAGGCGCCGCUCUGGGCCGUAACUGACGCUGAGGAGCGAAAGCAUGGGUAGCAAACAGG
rnacentral:rRNA from 4 species